rnacentral:rRNA from 1 species
AACGAACGCUGGCGGCAGGCCUAACACAUGCAAGUCGAACGAUAUAGUGGCAGACGGGUGAGUAACGCGUGGGAACGUACCUUUCACUACGGAAUAGCUCCGAGAAAUUGGUGGUAAUACCGUAUACGCCCUCAGGGGGAAAGAUUUAUCGGUGAAAGAUCGGCCCGCGUUGGAUUAGCUAGUUGGUGAGGUAAUGGCUCACAAAGGCGACGAUCCAUAGCUGGUCUGAGAGGAUGAUCAGCCACACUGGGACUGAGACACGGCCCAGACUCCUACGGGAGGCAGCAGUGGGGAAUCUUGCACAAUGGGCGAAAGCCUGAUGCAGCCAUGCCGCGUGAAUGAUGAAGGCCUUAGGGUUGUAAAAUUCUUUCGUCAGGGAUGAUAAUGACCGUACCUGAAGAAGAAGCCCCGGCUAACUUCGUGCCAGCAGCCGCCGUAA